rnacentral:rRNA from 1 species
AUUGAACGCUGGCGGCAUGCCUUACACAUGCAAGUCGAACGGCAGCACGGGUGCUUGCACCUGGUGGCGAGUGGCGAACGGGUGAGUAAUACAUCGGAACGUACCUUAUCGUGGGGGAUAACGCAGCGAAAGUUGCGCUAAUACCGCAUACGCCCUGAGGGGGAAAGCGGGGGACCGUAAGGCCUCGCGCGAUUAGAGCGGCCGAUGUCUGAUUAGCUUGUUGGUGAGGUAAAAGCUCACCAAGGCGAUGAUCAGUAGCGGGUCUGAGAGGACGAUCAGCCACACUGGGACUGAGACACGGCCCAGACUCCUACGGGAGGCAGCAGUGGGGAAUUUUGGACAAUGGGGGCAACCCUGAUCCAGCAAUGCCGCGUGAGUGAAGAAGGCCUUCGGGUUGUAAAGCUCUUCUGUCAGGGAAGAAACAGCAGCUCUAACACAGUCUGCGAAUGACGGUACCUGAAGAGUAAGCACCGGCUAACUACGUGCCAGCAGCCGCCGUAA